UCAGAACAACUUCUCAAGAGAGUGCUCACUUGGAAGAAAUUCAUUCCUGGACUUAUCUGAGUACCCAGAAUGAUUACUAGCAGCUGACUGGGCAAAAAUCAAAAGGGAUGCAGUACUGAGAAGUCUGACAAGAAGAAAAACAAGUCAGCCAAACUCCACCUCAAACCAGUUUUGUGAAAAAAUAUAUAAAUUGCCAGAUCACUAAACCAAGUACUUGCUUUAAUUAGUGUUAGAAUCCAUGCCUAUUCAAUGCAUAAAAAUAACUAUAGUUUUACAGUAACAAAUGACCUAAUACAUUUUGGUGUACGUAUAAUUGUACACAUUCUCAGAGAAUUUGAAAUGUGAAAAUUAUGCUAUCUUUGUUAGGAGAGACACUACAUUUAUUAUUUUAGAUGCUUACAUGCACAUGUAUAAAUGAUUUCAAAAUAAAUGUGUGAUUAGUAUAAUAUGGAAAACAGAUAAAAUACUCAGAUAAUUUUUAGCACAUCAAGAGAACUACUUUUGUGUUUAUUAAUGAAUGAGCCACUUAGGUCAUGGAAAAUUUCAGCUGGGUCUUGAGGAGGGAACUAAUUGUAAUGGAGAAAACUCAGUGCCACUAGUUAGCACCAGGCCUCCAUGUAAAACAAUUGGGAUGUUUCAAACAGUUUCCUUCAUGCUGCAGAUUGACAGUUUGUCAAUAAUUAUUUUCCAUAAGCAGAUGACACCUUAAUCGCCAAACCAUAGAAAGCUUUUUGUUUUUCUUAGCCAUCUUCCAAUGAGAACUCCCAUGCUAGUAAGAAUAUAUUAAUAUUUCCUACUGAAUUACAUCAGGUUCUCCUCUUUAACUACGGCACAUGGAAACAAAUUUCUCAGCUGAAAAUGAGUAUGUAAUUACCGUUACAACCAUCCCCCAGAAAAUUUUAGAUAGGAAUCCAGUGAACUCUUACUUAAUCUGCAUUCCUUUCACAUCCAACACAAUGGUAGUUCCUAACAUAAAAUAUGCAAUAUAGUUGCUGAGUGCUAUUUUCCUGAUAAAGUCUAAUUAAAGUGACUCCUUUGGUC
rnacentral:lncRNA from 1 species